GUGCUUACCUUCAGGGAUGCUCACAGCCCAUGGGUUAUGUCACUGCAAUGUAGCCUCUUCUCCUUUGGUGGUUUGUUUGUGACUGAGAUUAAUGUAAACCCAGAAUAUUUGAUGUGGGACAGUUUUGCCUCUAACUCUGCCAGUUUGCUUGGCAACAGGUGUAAUGGUAGGGGGAAACUCUCUGGAAGGCAGAUAAUACCAGGGGCUUGGAAUGAAGAUGUCAAGUGACCUUAUAAAAAAAGCCUCAGUGUGCGUGUUCAGCUCUCUGAUCCUGCUGCAAGAUCUUUGAGACACAUCCCCAGCAACACCUUUGAUACCCAGGAAUAUCACAACGCUGCUGGAGGGUCUGUGCCAUCCUGCCCAACUCCAAAUCAAGCAGAAUAACACAAAAAUCAGCCCAAAGUACAAUGUCUUAGCUUUGAUGACUCUUCAGACCUUUCAUUUUUCAGCUUUUAUUCAGCCACUGGCUCCUUUACCAGAUCACACAGGUGCCCCAAGAGGAGCUUGGUUGCAAGCAGCAGCAAAGCAGGCUCAGAGAAAGUGCUUGCAGCACCAAAAUUACAAACAUUCACCAAAAAUUACAUCUGCAUUUAGGGGAAACAAUGCUGGGAAGAAGGUUUGAGAAGCAAUGAUGAACCCUUUACCCCUCACAAUCUUGUCCCUUCUGCUUGCAAAUGAGUUGCCUUAGUCUCUAUUUUCAAGGUUGGUCACUGUCAAAGGCCAGUAAUGUUCCUUGCUGAGUCUGAUCUUGACCACAGCUCUGUCUUGAACCAGCAGAGGAGGUGGAGGCAUAACUGAGCAGACCUGUCGUGUCCAAGCUGCAGAAGAGAGUGUGGAAAAGAGGAAUGUGACGUCAGGCAGCAUCUCUCACCAUAUGUGGGAGUUCACCUGGAGUUCACAUCUGACUUUAACGUGGAGCUGGAGCUGAUGCGUGGGCUCACAUCCAUCACAUCCCUUGGCUGGAAGGAUUUCAGCGGGGGAACUUGUUUUGGUGGAGGAAGAUCACAGGGAUCUGCCAGCAGGAACUGAGCAGCAGCAAAGACUCCAGGCAGAGACAGGAAGGAGGAGGAGGAGGAGUUUUAGGUAACACCAUGCAUGUAGGUGUGAAACACAUUGAUUCUCCCAAGCCCAAAUUGCAAUGCCUCUGUUUCAGUUUGAACUCCCUGACUGUACUCAAACAAAAGCCAUGAGAUGAGACUUGUUGAAAUAUAACAGCUUAUUUCUGUCUCUGGUGUUUUUGUGCUCUCCGAGUCACAGCAGUGGGAUGAUUUUUUACAAACUACACAAGCACUCAUGAAUGUACAGCAAGGACUGAGGCUAAGUUUAUAAUAUUCAGCGCAGGCAGGUUUGAGCUUGCUUUGACAAAGCUGGGUCAAACCAUAGGAGAAGCCCCAAGCCCACGCUUGCACUGCCAGCCUGGUUUAACCUCUUCUGGGCAAUGCAAAGUGAAUGGAGGCUGCACACCAGCAGUGCCACAAACUCAAACUUCCCCAAAUGCCAUGCCAUGCACCCUUUAAGCUGUGUGCAGGAAGCACAGGACUCAAAACUGUCCAACAUCCCCCCCUCAAAAUUUGAGUGGAUGACCUAAGUUGCUUUUCUCUACCACCACCCCCGUGAGACAACUGGCUGAGUUUUUUUGCUGUAAAAGCACUCAGUAAUACGAGGUUUGGCAUCAAUCUCUGCAAAGCUUUAUUCAGCACUCUUCUGACAGCCCUGCAGAGCAUUCUCUGUUGAAGCAGGAUGGCAAGACAAAGAAAGAAGCAGCAAGAAAAGCCUGCAGCCUCCAACGUGCUCCUCAUGGCCGUGUGUGCGCUCUGACUGUCUGGCCUGAAACGUGUAUACAGGCUGUGUCCUAAGUGCCCUGAUAAGAUUGGGGCUCCAGAAUGUGUUGUCCUGAGAACAUUUGCUGCUGUUUAUCUGUGAGCUGAAAAACUUUCCAAAGUCCCCCGGCCAUCAGCCCCGACACCCUGGCUCAGAGCAGAUGACAGGCCGAGGCGAUACCCAACAGCUUUCGUGCCACGGGGUGAUACCGAAGUGGCUGAGAACCCAAAAGCUCAGCCUGAGCUGUUGAGUGGGGUCUGCUGACACCGUUGUGGCUGUUGAUACCCAGCACUGCUGCUCUUGUGGCAUCCUGUGGGAAAGUGUGGGAUCUGUCCCCUCCCCAGGCCCGAGGAACUCAUCCUCCUGGAGCCGACAGUCAGGAGGUGACAGCCCCAUCCUCCCUUCUGCUCCCAUCCGGGCUGUCAGAUCCAACCUAGGGGUGAAUAUAUGCAUCACCAUCAGCUUAUGAGCACAUAGAAACAUAUAAAUAUAUAAGUAUUUCUCCAGCACAAUGUGUU